GAACGCUGGCGGCGUGCUUAACACAUGCAAGUCGAACGAAGCAGCAGUGAAGGAGGCUUCGGCCAAUGGAUCUGUUGACUUAGUGGCGGACGGGUGAGUAACGCGUGAGCAACCUGCCUUCAGAGGGGGAUAACGUUUGGAAACGAACGCUAAUACCGCAUGACAUAGCAGUAUCGCAUGGUACAGCUAUCAAAGGAGCAAUCCGCUGAGAGAUGGGCUCGCGUCCGAUUAGAUAGUUGGUGGGGUAACGGCCUACCAAGUCGACGAUCGGUAGCCGGACUGAGAGGUUGAACGGCCACAUUGGGACUGAGACACGGCCCAGACUCCUACGGGAGGCAGCAGUGGGGAAUAUUGCACAAUGGGCGCAAGCCUGAAUGCAGCAACGCCGCGUGAGGGAAGACGGUUUUCGGAUUGUAAACCUCUGUCCUUGGUGAAGAUAAUGACGGUAGCCGAGGAGGAAGCCACGGCUAACUACGUGCCAGCCGCCGC
rnacentral:rRNA from 1 species